rnacentral:rRNA from 1 species
UUUCCCCUUCGGGGGACAGAGUGACAGGUGGUGCAUGGUUGUCGUCAGCUCGUGUCGUGAGAUGUUGGGUUAAGUCCCGCAACGAGCGCAACCCUUAAGCUUAGUUGCCAUCAUUAAGUUGGGCACUCUAAGUUGACUGCCGGUGACAAACCGGAGGAAGGUGGGGAUGACGUCAAAUCAUCAUGCCCCUUAUGAUUUGGGCUACACACGUGCUACAAUGGACAAUACAAAGGGCAGCGAAACCGCGAGGUCAAGCAAAUCCCAUAAAGUUGUUCUCAGUUCGGAUUGUAGUCUGCAACUCGACUAUAUGAAGCUGGAAUCGCUAGUAAUCGUAGAUCAGCAUGCUACGGUGAAUACGUUCCCGGGUCUUGUACACACCGCCCGUCACACCACGAGAGUUUGUAACACCCGAAGCCGGUGGAGUAACCAUUUGGAGCUAGCCGUCGAAGGUGGGACAAAUGAUUGGGGUGAAGUCGUAACAAGGUAGCCGUAUCGGAAGGUGCGGCUGGAUCACCUCCUUUCUAAGGA